AUUGAACGCUGGCGGCAUGCUUUACACAUGCAAGUCGAACGGUAACAGGUUAAGCUGACGAGUGGCGAACGGGUGAGUAAUGCAUCGGAACGUGCCCGAUCGUGGGGGAUAACGCAGCGAAAGCUGCGCUAAUACCGCAUACGAUCUGAGGAUGAAAGCGGGGGACCGUAAGGCCUCGCGCGAUCGGAGCGGCCGAUGUCAGAUUAGGUAGUUGGUGGGGUAAAGGCUCACCAAGCCAACGAUCUGUAGCUGGUCUGAGAGGACGACCAGCCACACUGGGACUGAGACACGGCCCAGAAUCCUACGGGAGGCAGCAGUGGGGAAUUUUGGACAAUGGGCGAAAGCCUGAUUCAGCCAUGCCGCGUGUCUGAAGAAGGCCUUCGGGUUGUAAAGGACUUUUGUCGGGGAGGAAAUCCCCAGCGUUAAUACCGCUGGGGGAUGACAGUACCUGAAGAAUAAGCACCGGCUAACUACGUGCCAGCCGCCGCAGUAA
rnacentral:rRNA from 1 species